rnacentral:rRNA from 1 species
UGGGGAAUAUUGGACAAUGGGGGCAACCCUGAUCCAGCAAUGCCGCGUGUGUGAAGAAGGUCUUCGGAUUGUAAAGCACUUUCGACGGGGACGAUGAUGACGGUACCCGUAGAAGAAGCCCCGGCUAACUUCGUGCCAGCAGCCGCGGUAAUACGAAGGGGGCCUAGCGUUGCUCGGAAUGACUGGGCGUAAAGGGCGUGUAGGCGGUUUACACAGUCAGAUGUGAAAUCCCCGGGCUUAACCUGGGAGCUGCAUCUGAUACGUGUAGACUAGAGUGUGAGAGAGGGUUGUGGAAUUCCCAGUGUAGAGGUGAAAUUCGUAGAUAUUGGGA